rnacentral:rRNA from 1 species
UACGUAGGAGGCGAGCGUUGUUCGGAAUUACUGGGCGUAAAGGGCUCGUAGGCGGCCAACUAAGUCAGACGUGAAAUCCCUCGGCUUAACCGGGGAACUGCGUCUGAUACUGGAUGGCUUGAGAUUGGGAGAGGGAUGCGGAAUUCCAGGUGUAGCGGUGAAAUGCGUAGAUAUCUGGAGGAACACCGGUGGCGAAGGCGGCAUCCUGGACCAACACUGACGCUGAGGAGCGAAAGCCAGGGGAGCAAACGGG